rnacentral:rRNA from 1 species
AUUGAACGCUGGCGGCAUGCCUUACACAUGCAAGUCGAACGGCAGCACGGGAGCAAUCCUGGUGGCGAGUGGCGAACGGGUGAGUAAAGUAUCGGAACGUGCCCAGUCGUGGGGGAUAACGUAGCGAAAGUUACGCUAAUACCGCAUACGAUCUAUGGAUGAAAGCGGGGGAUCGCAAGACCUCGCGCGAUUGGAGCGGCCGAUAUCAGAUUAGGUAGUUGGUGGGGUAAAGGCUCACCAAGCCGACGAUCUGUAGCUGGUCUGAGCGGACGACCAGCCACACUGGGACUGAGACGCGGCCCAGACUCCUACGGGAGGCAGCAGUGGGGAAUUUUGGACAAUGGGCGAAAGCCUGAUCCAGCCAUGCCGCGUGCAGGAUGAAGGCCUUCGGGUUGUAAACUGCUUUUGUACGGAACGAAAAGGUUUGGCCUAAUAAGCUGAGCUCAUGACGGUACCGUAAGAAUAAGCACCGGCUAACUACGUGCCAGCAGCCGCGGUAA